UAAGACUAAUAUUCUCUGUCAAGUUGCUAAAUUAGAGUUUAUUGUUUGAACAUGUGUACAUAACUCUCAUCAAACAUCACUAUUUUCAUCUCUCUCUUCUCUGUUGUAGCUGUAAUCAAGUGAGAUUUCUUGAUCCUUUCCUGCAUUUCUUCAAAAUUAAUGAUCUAUAAUUUAGCUUCUACGAGCACAAAAUCUAUUCGGAAUUUACAAAAUUGCAAAUCUAUGGUGAUUUUUUUAUCUCCACUUAGAUUUUUUUGGAAAAGUUUUAACUUGCAUGUUCAAGGAGGAUACUCUCUUUUGGCAGCUGAAUCAUCACGGUGUACCAUGUAGAAAAUAUGACAAAUUCAGGGUCGCUCCAGUCCUGUAAAAAAUGAUAGAUUGUCAAAUCCAACAGUAUUACCAGAACCUCCACCCUUUAGAAGCCAAGAGGAUUCCUCUCUUCCGUCUAGCAUGAAUGAAAGAUAUGAAAAAAAAUUUAUGAUAGUGAACAAUCACUUGCUGUUGAAAAUCCAGGUUCAUCGUGUAAACGUUUUUUUGGUUUAAGAGUGAGCACGAUCAGCAAGACUGACGGCCUGGCUGAUGCUUCUGGUCAGAGUCAUGACAAGGCAAACAACACUUAUACACCAUCAAAUGAUAGGUCGUUAGAGGUUGAAACUACUGAAAAAAACAGGUUGAGGUUACCAGGAUGAAUGAUUCAGCAGCAAUAUGCGUGGAUUUAGAUGUACAUCCACCAUCAUCAUCUGGUGGUAGAACCGUUACGUUUGUAUCUCUCAUCAGAUCAGAUGUUAGCAAGCUCAACACCUUUAAGACACUUGAAAAUGAGGAGUGUCGUGUUCCAUCAACAAAGCUAAAGCCUCAUUAUAUGUUAAUUCAACUAAUGUCUUGUGGAUCAAUUUCAGUAAAGGAUCAAAGAUUUGGUCUUCUACAUACAUACAAGUCAAGAUUAAGUUUCGGAAAGCUUGAUUGCCUGAGAAGGAAUAAUAGGUUAAUGAGUCUGAGUUUUGAAGAUGGGGAAUAUUUCUAUACAAGCUGGACGGAGUCUACAAUCACCAAGGAAAAGCAGCAGUCAUCCUUCUUCACUACUGAGAGUGUUUACAGGAUUUGACAAAAUUGAGCACAUUACAACUCAAAUAGUUGGGACAACAAGAAAAAUUUAUUUGGCGAGUGAGGUCAUUAUAUUUGUAGGUCACUCUAUCUCUGACUACAAAGGAAGUUCAACUCUUACAAUCGUAUAGCGAUUCAGCUCCUGUGUGAGAUAUCAAAAGGAAAGAUGUAAUCAUCCGAAUGAAAAUGGCAAUUCCAGACUUUGGAGGGACGUAUUUAGUUUUCUGAUUUUGAAUUUGUGCAGCAAUUACAACUAAGGUGAUUGUAUAAACUUCAAAUGUUAUACCUCAGUGAUAUUUAUACAAACUGCUCAAAAGGUAUUUGUUGUACUUAGCAGGAUACUAGCUUUCAUUGACAAUCGAAAACUUUAACAGUUUUCUUUUAAUAUUUCUAAAUUCAGGUAUUUGA